rnacentral:rRNA from 1 species
UACGUAGGGUGCGAGCGUUGUCCGGAAUUACUGGGCGUAAAGAGCUCGUAGGUGGUUUGUCGCGUUGUCCGUGAAAACUCACAGCUUAACUGUGGGCGUGCGGGCGAUACGGGCAGACUGGAGUACUGCAGGGGAGACUGGAAUUCCUGGUGUAGCGGUGGAAUGCGCAGAUAUCAGGAGGAACACCGGUGGCGAAAGCGGCUUCCUGGUCCAGCACCGACGUUCAGGCACGAAAGCGUGGGGAGCAAACAGG